AACGAACGCUGGCGGCAUGCCUAACACAUGCAAGUCGAACGAGACCUUCGGGUCUAGUGGCGCACGGGUGCGUAACGCGUGGGAACCUGCCCUUAGGUUCGGAAUAACUCCCCGAAAGGGGUGCUAAUACCGGAUAAUGUCUUCGGACCAAAGAUUUAUCGCCUUUGGAUGGGCCCGCGUUGGAUUAGCUAGUUGGUAGGGUAAAAGCCUACCAAGGCGACGAUCCAUAGCUGGUCUGAGAGGAUGAUCAGCCACACUGGGACUGAGACACGGCCCAGACUCCUACGGGAAGCAGCAGUGGGGAAUAUCGGACAAUGGGCGAAAGCCUGAUCCAGCAAUGCCGCGUGAGCGAUGAAGGCCUUAGGGUUGUAAAGCUCUUUUACCCGGGAUGAUAAUGACAGUACCGGGAGAAUAAGCUCCGGCUAACUCCGUG
rnacentral:rRNA from 1 species